GAUGAACGCUGGCUACAGGCUUAGCACAUGCAAGUCGAGGGGAAACGACGGGGAAGCUUGCUUCCCCGGGCGUCGACCGGCGCACGGGUGAGUAACGCGUAUCCAACCUGCCUCUGACUGAGGGAUAACCCGUCGAAAGUCGGCCUAAUACCUCAUGGCAUCGUCUGCGGGCAUCCAACGACGAUUAAAGAUUUCAUCGGUCAGGGAUGGGGAUGCGUCUGAUUAGCUUGUUGGCGGGGUAACGGCCCACCAAGGCUACGAUCAGUAGGGGUUCUGAGAGGAAGGUCCCCCACAUUGGAACUGAGACACGGUCCAAACUCCUACGGGAGGCAGCAGUGAGGAAUAUUGGUCAAUGGGCGGGAGCCUGAACCAGCCAAGUAGCGUGCAGGAUGACGGCCCUAUGGGUUGUAAACUGCUUUUAUGCGGGGAUAAAGUGAGGGACGUGUCCUUCAUUGCAGGUACCGCAUGAAUAAGGACCGGCUAAUUCCGUG
rnacentral:rRNA from 1 species